GAUGAACGCUGGCGGCGUGCCUAAUACAUGCAAGUCGAGCGAACAGACGAGGAGCUUGCUCCUCUGACGUUAGCGGCGGACGGGUGAGUAACACGUGGAUAACCUACUUAUAAGACUGGGAUAACUUCGGGAAACCGGAGCUAAUACCGGAUAAUAUAUUGAACCGCAUGGUUCAAUAGUGAAAGACGGUUUUGCUGUCACUUAUAGAUGGAUCCGCGCCGCAUUAGCUAGUUGGUAAGGUAACGGCUUACCAAGGCAACGAUGCGUAGCCGACCUGAGAGGGUGAUCGGCCACACUGGAGCUGAGACACGGUCCAGACUCCUACGGGAGGCAGCAGUAGGGAAUCUUCCGCAAUGGGCGAAAGCCUGACGGAGCAACGCCGCGUGGGUGAUGAAGGUCUUCGGAUCGUAAAACUCUGUUAUUAGGGAAGAACAAAUGUGUAAGUAACUAUGCACGUCUUGACGGUACCUAAUCAGAAAGCCACGGCUAACUACGUG
rnacentral:rRNA from 1 species